rnacentral:rRNA from 1 species
UACGGGGGGGGCAAGCGUUGUUUGGAAUUACUGGGCGUAAAGGGCUCGUAGGUGGCCAACUAAGUCAGACGUGAAAUCCCUCGGCUUAACCGGGGAACUGCGUCUGAUACUGGAUGGCUUGAGUUCGGGAGAGGGAUGCGGAAUUCCAGGUGUAGCGGUGAAAUGCGUAGAUAUCUGGAGGAACACCGGUGGCGAAGGCGGCAUCCUGGACCGACACUGACACUGAGGAGCGAAAGCCAGGGGAGCAAACGGG